rnacentral:lncRNA from 1 species
UCGCGCCGGGAGGGGCCCUCGCGCCCCGCGCCCACAGGUGCACGCGCCCUUGGCGCCGCCUGCACCCCACGCGCCCCCUCCGCUCCCCGGCCGACGGCCCACCUGGGCUUCGUGAACAGUGGGAGGGAGAGUCUGGGGCCAGGAGAGGGACGGUGCAGGAUCAGGGAAAGUACUCGAAGUGUGCUCUGACUGCUGCAACAUGGGAGAUGUUGCCCACUACUCUGCCUGGAGCCUCAUGUUGCAUUUGACUGUUUUAGUAACCGCAUCCCACUGCAGACUCCAAUUGGUCCAGAUACCCCAUUUCUAUUUUAUGCAUAGUCUGCUGGGCCGCGUUUCUGUCGUCUUGUGUUUAGGCUGUUAUCUGUGCCCUAUAAAUAUCACCAAAAGCAAUCGUUAAGUCUGAGCCAGAUGAACCCUGCAGGGGUGCCAUAACUUACCAUAGACUGGAUGGAUCAAACACCAGAAAUGUAUUUCCUCACAUUUCAGGAGGCUGGAAGUCUGAAAUCGAGGUGUUGGCUGAGUUGGUUACUUCUGAGGCCUCUCUCCUUGGCUUGCAGAUGGCCACCUUCUCCCUGUAUUCUCACAUGGUCUUCCCUCUGUGUCUUACUGUGCCCUAAUCUCCUCUUGUUAUAAGGACAGCAGAUAUUGGGUUAGGAUCCAUGCUAAUGACCUCAUUUAACCUUAAUUACAUCUUUGACCCUAUCUCCAAAUAUGGUCACAUUUUGAGACACUGUCGGGUUAGGACUUCAACAUAUGAAUUUGGGGGUGGGGGUACAUAAUAUGUCCUUCUUUAGAACAGCUAAGACUUAUUCUAUAAUCCUGUCACUCAUCUUUGGCCUUUAUUUCCAGUGACCUUUCUUUCAUUUUCAGUCUGAAGAUCAUUCAACUCAACAGAAAAAAAAAAAAUAGAAAUGGAAGAGAUCUACUUUCUGUCUGUCCUGCAUCAGCAUUGCAUCAUGAUCCCCAUGCAGCUGGCUUACCCCUCCCGCAAUCAUCAGGCUCUGAAAAGAAAGAAAAUGACCUUUUAUACUUUCCUUUAGAAAAUUUUGUCAAAGCUUAAACAUUGACAUUUAAUGACAUUUAAAAUCUGUAUUAGUUUACUAGAGCUGCCAUAACAAAAUAUCACAGACUGGGUGGCUUAAACCAAGAAAUUUAUUUUCUCACAGUUCCAGAAAAGUCUAAGAUCAAGAUGCAGAUAGGAUUGGAAUCCUCAGAGGUCUCCUUGGCUUGCAGAUGGCUGCACCCUUGCUAAGUCCUCACACGUUCUUUCCUCUGCACAGUCAUGUUCUAAGGUACUGGGGGUUAGGGCUUCAACAUAUGAAUUUUGGGGGAACAUAAGUCUAUAACCAAACCUCUAAAAUUCCCCUAAAAUUAUUCUCACAUUUUAAGCUACUCUGAUGUCCGUCCUUGGGAGUGGAUUCCUUCUACUUUUUAUUCAUGUCCUUUUGAAAUCAGAAACCUUCCUAGGUAAUUAGAAUAUUUCUUUAGCUGCUUCCUGGUUGAAUAUAUGGAUUACUUAGCCACUCCAGACUUCCGGUAGUGUUGGGAAUUACCAUGCUUUCCAUGAAGAUGUGAGCUUGCUGGGUAUCAUGUACGUUGGCAGACGCAGUGACGUAUUUGAGAGUUUCACAUGCCUCUUAACCUGUCUUUCCUCCCAGAACCGUGUGCUAACUCCUCAUCAAAGACCAGAAGUAGAUCCUGAAUUGUAUUCAUUCUCAUCUCUUUCUACCUCCUCCAAGACAGAAGGACAUGAUUAACUUCUUUAUCUCAAUGUCAGCCUUCAAUAGCUACAAAAGUCUAAACUGUAAAUAGCGUUGAAGCUUUGCAUAAUAAAAUUCUUUUCCCCAGUGAUGGGCAGUUUUUCACAUAGUAACAUUCUUUUAAUCUUUUUUUCUUUUUAAUGAGUAGACAUAAAGAAAUGCUUAAAUAAAUAAUUAUCAACUAACUUACCUACAUUUAACUACACAUACCUAACAGACCUGAAUAUAGGCAGAGGAUGUGACAUUUUACUUACCCUUUUAUUAAAGUUACUGCUUCAUUUAUUGGUCUUUACUUCACUAGUGCAUCCAUAAAAUGUUUACAUUUUUUUAAACAAUAAAAUACUCUUGAAAUUAGUCCUUCUCUGUAAUCACUACAUAAAACUGCUUUAGAGACAGCCUUCAGAUCAACUAAAUUAUAUUUUACAAAAUGGCUUAGGUAUUUCAGUAGUAACUCUAUGGAACAACAGAAUUCACUGUUUAACCAGGGACCAAUAUUGGCAGCUGGCUUCCAUAACUUGUUUGAGGAAUGUAGUAAUUCCAAGGUUGCUGCAAGGACUAAUGUACAGGAAUAUUCCUGUAUUUUAUGGAAUAAAAAGGAAGAACGAGAGGAG